UUACCCAAUCCCGAUUCGGGGAGGUAGUGACAAUAAAUAACAAUACAGGGCCAACGGUCUUGUUAUUGGAAUGAGAACAAUUUAAAUAACUUAACGAGGAUCAGUUAGAGGGCAAGUCUGGUGCCAGCAGCCGCGGUAAUUCCGGCUCUAAUAGCGUAUAUUAAAGUUGUUGCAGUUAAAAAGCUCGUAGUCGGAUGUCGGGCUCGGGCAGGCUGUCGGCUUCGGUCGGACGGCAGGCUCGGGUCUUUCUGCUUGAGGGUCCCGUGCACUUUAUUGUGGGCGGGGGACGCAGGCCGUUUACUUUGAAAAAAUUAGAGUGUUCAAAGCAGGCCUACGCUUGAAUACAUUAGCAUGGAAUAAUGGAAUAGGACUUUGGUGCUAUUUUGUUGGUUUAUGGGACCGAAGUAAUGAUUAACAGGGACAGUUGGGGCCGUUUAUAUUUCGUUGUCAGAGGUGAAAUUCUUGGAUUUACGAAAGAUAAACUUCUGCGAAAGCAUUCGGCAAGGAUGUUUUCAUUGAUCAAGAACGAAAGUUAGGGGAUCGAAGACGAUCAGAUACCGUCGUAGUCUUAACCAUAAACUAUGCCGACUAGGGAUCAGUGGAUGUCAAUUUGCGACUCCUUUGGCACCUUGUGAGAAAUCAAAGUUCUUGGGUUCCGGGGGGAGUAUGGUCGCAAGGCUGAAACUUAAAGGAAUUGACGGAAGGGCACCACCAGGAGUGGAGCCUGCGGCUUAAUUUGACUCAACACGGGGAAACUUACCAGGUCCAGACAUAGUAAGGAUUGACAGAUUGAAAGCUCUUUCUUGAUUCUAUGGGUGGUGGUGCAUGGCCG
rnacentral:rRNA from 1 species